rnacentral:rRNA from 1 species
UUUGCCUACGGGACGCAGCAGUGGGGAAUAUUGCACAAUGGGGGAAACCCUGAUGCAGCAACGCCGCGUGAAGGAAGACGGUUUUCGGAUUGUAAACUUCUGUUCUUAGUGAAGAAAAAUGACGGUAGCUAAGGAGCAAGCCACGGCUAACUACGUGCCAGCAGCCGCGGUAAUACGUAGGUGGCAAGCGUUGUCCGGAAUUACUGGGUGUAAAGGGAGCGCAGGCGGGAAGCCAAGUCAGCUGUGAAAACUAAGGGCUUAAAUUGUAGACUGGAGUUGAAAAUGGUUUUCUUGAGUGAAGUAGA